rnacentral:snoRNA from 1 species
CGCUCCUGUUUCUGCCUCAAAUUCGUUUCGCAUCCGUCGAAUUAUGGGUUCUGGUGAUGGAGAAGAUCAAGCCAUGAAAUUGGGCUUUUGCAUUUGAUACUUGGAAUUGCCUGGUUUCAUGGAUCGUGUGGAUGGCUUUGUAUCCGUCGUGUGGCUUUUGAAAUGACUUUGAACAUUUGAAAAGCCUGAUCGGUCCCACUAUAUUU